GGGUGGUCUUCUCGUUCUGGGAGGUGAGGUAGAUGGCGAUGGCAAUGGACUCGUUAAGAGUGAAGUUGUCGGCACCAACGAAGGACGGGACGAGACCGAGCUUGUUGAUGAGCUUGUAGUCGUCGGAGACGCCCUUGGCGGGCUCAGUGUGAACGAACUCAAUGUCAAGGUUGUUGACGUUGGCCACGGCCUGGAUGGCAAUGGUGCGGGGGUUACCCGG
rnacentral:misc_RNA from 1 species